rnacentral:rRNA from 1 species
UACGUAGGGGGGCGAGCGUUAUCCAGAUUUACUGGGCGUAAAGCGCGUGUAGGCGGCCUGGUUAGGUGUGAUGUGGAAAUCUCGGGCUCAACCCGAAAACUGCAUUGCAAACGGCCUGGCUAGAGUGCAGGAGAGGGAAGCGGAAUUCCUGGUGUAGCGGUGAAAUGCGUAGAUAUCAGGAGGAACACCUGUGGUGUAGACGCUUUCUGGACCAUAGCUGACGCUGAGACACGAAAGCUGGGUAGCAAACAGG